rnacentral:rRNA from 1 species
GACGAACGCUGGCGGCGUGCCUAAUACAUGCAAGUCGAACGCUGAAGGAGGAGCUUGCUCUUCUGGAUGAGUUGCGAACGGGUGAGUAACGCGUAGGUAACCUGCCUGGUAGCGGGGGAUAACUAUUGGAAACGAUAGCUAAUACCGCAUAAGAGUAGAUGUUGCAUGACAUUUGCUUAAAAGGUGCAAUUGCAUCACUACCAGAUGGACCUGCGUUGUAUUAGCUAGUUGGUGGGGUAACGGCUCACCAAGGCGACGAUACAUAGCCGACCUGAGAGGGUGAUCGGCCACACUGGGACUGAGACACGGCCCAGACUCCUACGGGAGGCAGCAGGAGGGAAUCUUCGGCAAGGGACGGAAGUCUGACCGAGCAACGCCGCGUGAGUGAAGAAGGGUGUCGGAUCGUAAAGCUCGGUUGUAAGAGAAGAAAGAGUGUGAGAGUGGAAAGUUCACACUGUGACGGUAGCUUACCAGAAAGGGACGGCUAACUACGUG